GUUCAAAUGGCCUACCCUCAAACUAUGCUCAACUGAUUUGAGAAAGCAAAUUUCUAACAAAAAGAGGAGAAAGAAGGAUGCAGCUACUGGUCUCUUUGUUUUUCCAGUCCAAUCUAGGGUUACUGGUGCAAAGUACUCCUACCAGUGGAUGGCACUGGCACAGCAGAAUAAUUGGCAUGUGUUGCUUGAUGCCGGUGCUCUGGGUCCAAAAGAUAUGGAUUCCCUUGGAUUGUCUUUAUUUCGUCCGGACUUUAUAA
rnacentral:misc_RNA from 1 species